AUUGAACGCUGGCGGCAGGCCUAACACAUGCAAGUCGAACGAGUGGCGGACGGGUGAGUAAUGUCUGGGAAACUGCCUGAUGGAGGGGGAUAACUACUGGAAACGGUAGCUAAUACCGCAUACCAUCGGAUGUGCCCAGAGGGGAUUAGCUAGUAUGUGGGGUAAAGGCUCACCUAGGCGACGAUCCCUAGCUGGCAUGAGAGGAUGACCAGCCACACUGGAACUGAGACACGGUCCAGACUCCGACGCGAGGCAGCAGUGGGGAAUAUUGCACAAUGGGCGCAAGCCUGAUUCAGCCAUGCUGCGUGUAUGAAGAAGGCCUUCGGGUUGUAAAGUACUUUCAGCGGGGAGGCGUUACCCGCAGAAGAAGCACCGGCUAACUCCGUGCCAGCAGCCGCGGUAAUUC
rnacentral:rRNA from 1 species